GGAAGACCCUUAUUUUGGUUUGUUUUCUUUUUCUCCUCAGGAAGAGCUCUUGACUGAUCUGACUGGCUAGGCAGGUGUCCCUUUCCUUCCUUUCCUUCCUUGCUGCUCCUGUGUGUCCCUCCCAAAGCUGCGUGCUUGCUCGCUCGGUCAGUCAAAGAGGACCGCCUUUCCCGAAUAGAGACAGACCCAGUAUACUAGUAGCUGCGCUCCCCUUCCAGAACCUCCAAACAAGAUCUCAAGGAAGUGCUCCUAUAACACAGACUCACCCAUCACGCCUGCUCACCAUGAUUAGUUAAUCUGCAGAAUUGAGAAAGCAUCUCUAAGUGGCUGAUACACUUUAG
ensembl:misc_RNA 7SK 7SK RNA